CCUACGGGUGGCAGCAGUGGGGAAUAUUGGACAAUGGGCGAAAGCCUGAUCCAGCCAUGCCGCGUGUGUGAAGAAGGCCUUCGGGUUGUAAAGCACUUUCAGUGGGGAAGAAAGCCUUGGGGCUAAUACCCUCGAGGAAGGACAUCACCCACAGAAGAAGCACCGGCUAACUCCGUGCCAGCAGCCGCGGUAAUACGGAGGGUGCGAGCGUUAAUCGGAAUUACUGGGCGUAAAGCGCGCGUAGGCGGUCUGAUAAGCCGGUUGUGAAAGCCCCGGGCUCAACCUGGGAACGGCAUCCGGAACUGUCAGGCUAGAGUGCAGGAGAGGAAGGUAGAAUUCCCGGUGUAGCGGUGAAAUGCGUAGAGAUCGGGAGGAAUACCAGUGGCGAAGGCGGCCUUAUGGACUGACACUGACGCUGAGGUGCGAAAGCGUGGGUAGCAAACAGGAUUAGAUACCCUGGUAGUC
rnacentral:rRNA from 1 species